UUGAGGGCAGUCUGGUGCCAGCAGCCGCGGUAAUUCCAGCUCCUAUAGCGUAUAUUAAAGUUGUUGCAGUUAAAAAGCUCGUAGUUGAAUUUCGGGGUCAGUAGGUCGGUCGUGCCACUGGUAUGAACUGGUUUUACUGAUUCCUCCCUCUUGAAGAACUGUAAUGCCAUUAAUUUGGUGUUGCAGGGAAUCAGGACUGUUACUUUGAAAAAAUUAGAGUGUUUAAAGCAGGCUUUGGCUUGAAUACAUUAGCAUGGAAUAAUGAAAUAGGACGUUCGAUCCUAUUUUGUUGGUUUCUAGGAUUGACGUAAUGGUUAAUAGGGAUAGUUGGGGGCAUUAGUAUUCAAUUGUCAGAGGUGAAAUUCUUGGAUUUAUUGAAGACUAACUACUGCGAAAGCAUUUGCCAAGGAUGUUUUCAUUAAUCAAGAACGAAAGUUAGGGGAUCGAAGACGAUCAGAUACCGUCGUAGUCUUAACCAUAAACUAUGCCGACUAGGGAUCGGAUGAUGUUAAUUUUUUAAUGACUCAUUCGGCGCCUUACGGGAAAC
rnacentral:rRNA from 1 species